rnacentral:rRNA from 1 species
GUCUCGCAACGAGCGCAACCCCUGCCCCUAGUUACCAGCGGAUNNUGCCGGGGACUUUGGGGGGACUGCCGGCGCNAAGCCGGAGGAAGGUGGGGACAACUUCGAUUCNUCAUGCCUGGUAUGUCCAGGGCUACACACUUGCUACAAUGGGCGGUNCAAAGGGUUGCAAACCCGCCAGGGGGAGCCAANCCCAUAAANCCCUCCCCGGUUCGGANUGCNCUCUGCCACUCAACUGCAUGAACUUGGAAUCGCUAGAUNAUCGCGUAUCGGAACUACCCUGUGAAUGCGUUCCCGGGCCUUGUCCUCACCGCCCGUCACUUCGCGAUAGUCGGUUGUGCCAGANUCCGGUGUGCCAGCCCUUCGGGGAGGCAGCUGUC